AUAAAGAAUGGUUAGUGGCAGACGGGUGAGUAAUGCAUAGGAAUCUACCUAGUAGUAUGGGAUAGCCACUAGAAAUGGUGGGUAAUACUGUAUAAUCCCUGCGGGGGAAAGAUUUAUCGCUAUUAGAUGAGCCUAUGUUAGAUUAGCUAGUUGGUAGGGUAAAGGCCUACCAAGGCGAUGAUCUAUAGCUGGUCUGAGAGGAUGAUCAGCCACACUGGAACUGAGAUACGGUCCAGACUCCUACGGGAGGCAGCAGUGGGGAAUAUUGGACAAUGGCCGCAAGCCUGAUCCAGCUAUGCCGCAUGAGUGAGGAAGGCCUUAGGGUUGUAAAACUCUUUCAGUAGGGAAGAUAAUGACGGUACCUACAGAAGAAGUCCCGGCAAACUCCGUGCCAGCAGCCGCGGUAAUACGGAGGGGGCAAGCGUUGUUCGGAAUUAUUGGGCGUAAAGGGCAUGUAGGCGGUUCGGUAAGUUAAAGGUGAAAUGCCAGGGCUUAAC
rnacentral:rRNA from 1 species